AACGAUACUAGCUUGCUAGUAGGCGUCGAUUGGCGGACGGGUGAGUAACGCGUAGGAAUCUACCUGAUAGUGGGGGAUAGCCCGAAGAAAUUCGGAUUAAUACCGCAUAAUCUAUUCGUAGUAAAGUGGGGGACUUUCGAGCCUCACGCUAUCAGAUGAGCCUGCGUAAGAUUAGCUAGUUGGUAGGGUAAAAGCCUACCAAGGCGACGAUCUUUAGCUGGUCUGAGAGGAUGAUCAGCCACAUCGGGACUGAGACACGGCCCGAACUCCUACGGGAGGCAGCAGUGGGGAAUAUUGGACAAUGGGGGCAACCCUGAUCCAGCAAUACCGCGUGUGUGAAGAAGGCCUGAGGGUUGUAAAGCACUUUCAAUUGUGAAGAAAAGCUAGUGGUUAAUAGCCAUUAGCCUUGACGUUAACUUUAGAAGAAGCACCGGCUAACUCCGUGCCAGCAGCCGCGGUAAUACGGAGGGUGCAAGCGUUAAUCGGAAUUACUGGGCGUAAAGCGUGCGUAGGCGGUUUAUUAAGUCAGAUGUGAAAGCCCCGGGCUUAACCUGGGAACUGCAUUUGAAACUGGUCAACUAGAGUAUGGUAGAGGAAAGUGGAAUUUCUGGUGUAGCGGUGAAAUGCGUAGAUAUCAGAAGGAACAUCAAUGGCGAAGGCAACUUUCUGGACCAAUACUGACGCUGAGGUACGAAAGCGUC
rnacentral:rRNA from 1 species